rnacentral:piRNA from 1 species
UAGGUUAUUGUAGUUACUUGACCUGUGCCG